AGGUGUACCAGCUUUUUUUAGAAGUUGUCUAGAAGGUUUUCCAGCUUUCACCCAA
rnacentral:snRNA from 10 species